GAGAGGGAGGCGAGGGAUUUAAGGAAAUAACAUGGGAACUGGUGCAGAGGAAGAAAGUGAGAGUGAGCUCUCUUUUUGUCUCUGACUGUACAAGGAGAGCUCAGUUUCUAUGGGAUCAGCCAGCCAGAGGAGCCUUGAAGUCGGAGAGGAAAAGGAAGCAAAGCCAGGUGUGCAGGGGGAACAUGAUGGGCCCCGAGGUUGGGGCUGAGAGGCAAACAAUGGAACUUGGCAGCGUGGGCGCAUGAACCUGCAAAUGAUAUCUACCGGGGUUUGGACUGGAAUAUUGUCAAUCAGUGAGCAAGAAGAGGAGCAUGGGAUGUUGUGUGUGUGUGAAACUGACAGAAAUCAGAACAAUAUGGACAGACAACAUAGUGGGUCAUACCAGGACAAGAAGAAUACCCCAAAUCACUGCUGUUCCAUUGAAAUGUUCCACUUUAGACUAAUGUGCAACACAUGGAAGUAGGUGAACUUGACAAGAGCCAAAAGCUAUACGCAACAACAACAUCGCCUGUACCCAGUCUGAAGCCUGACUCUUGUGUGGACAUUUAGAAACCUACAGUAUGUUCCACAAUUUGUACAACUCCAAUUAAAGCACUGGUUUUGCUUU